UCCGCGGGCGGCGGACCUGCCGCCGGACCGGCCUUUUGGGGAGAAAAACUCUGAGAAAGGUCCCGGCAGCGGCGGCCGGGCUGCCUGCUCUGCAAAAUUUCACACUGCAUAUACUACGUCUUGGAAAUCAAAGCCAUAAAAAACAUCAUGUUCAAUGAGAUUUCACCUCUCUGCCUGCCAUAGCUCGCAUCCCACUGCACUCUGAAGGAAAAUGCUGUCUACAGAGCCUUCUCAACAGCGACUUGGACUGUGCCACUCCCCAGUUGAAUGCUAUCUCUGGCAUUGCUGUCCUGUACAGUUCCAGUAUCUUGGUCUCUGCUGUUAAUUUCUAGUGGAAUUCAUUAUCCUCAGUGAAUAAAGGAGGACAUAGUACACUUAUUUCUUCUGGUCCUACAGAGGAUUCAUCUGAGUCAGAAUGUUCAUGGGGAUCACAUACAAAAACAUUAACCGCUAAAUUUCUCAAAUUACUUCUGAGCUCUUUGAGAGGACUUAAACUAACAAAGAUGGUCAAGCAGUUUGCAAAUGGGCCAUUUACAAACAGGCCAUUUGGGUUUCACAUUUAUACUGACUGAAUGUUUGGAAUCAGUCCAGAAGACUGUUACUGUUGUUGGUUUUGCCCUUUUUGUACAUCUCUGUGGCUUUGGGACUUACCUCCAAAAUUUGUAUUUUUCUCUCCCCACAUCCUUCAGAGAUGACUGUCUUCCCCUUUACCACUGCUUUAAAACCUAUACUUUGCAAUAGGUUAAUAUUACAUGUUGUUUGGGAAAAGAGUGCGUAACUGGAAGGUUUGGAAAACAAAAAAAGUUACUGUGUCUAAAUCCAAGUCACACAUUCAAAUCUCUCAGGAAUAUUUUAGUUCCUAAAUGCCUUCCUCAGUACAAGUAAAUGC